GCGAUCGUCGCCGAACGAGGACGCGGCCUCGGACUUGGAGCGUUCGAAGCCCUCGCGGGCCUCGGCAUCGUUCCAGGCGAUGCGCAUGCCC
rnacentral:tRNA from 1 species